rnacentral:rRNA from 1 species
UACAGAGGAGCCAAGCGUUGUCCGGAUUGACUGGGCGUAAAGCGCACGCAGGCGGUCGUGCGCGUGGGGUGUGAAAUCUGGCCGCUUAACGGCCAGGCGCCAUCCCAUACGGCACGACUGGAGGGCUGCAGAGGUCGAUGGAAUUGCCGGUGUAGUGGUGAAAUGCGUAGAGAUCGGCAGGAACACCCAGGGGGAAACCAGUCGACUGGGCAGCACCUGACGCUGAGGUGCGAGAGCGUGGGGAGCGAACCGG